AUUGAACGCUGGCGGCAUGCCUUACACAUGCAAGUCGAACGGCAGCACGGGGGCAACCCUGGUGGCGAGUGGCGAACGGGUGAGUAAUGCAUCGGAACGUGCCCAGUAGUGGGGAUAACUAGUCGAAAGAUUAGCGUAAUACCGCAUACGACCUAUGGGUGAAAGCGGGGGAUUCGCAAGAACCUCGCGCUAUCGGAGCGGCCGAUGUCUGAUUAGCUAGUUGGCGGGGUAAAAGCCCACCAAGGCUUCGAUCAGUAGCUGGUCUGAGAGGACGACCAGCCACACUGGGACUGAGGACACGGCCCAGACUCCUACGGGAGGCAGCAGUGGGGAAUUUUGGACAAUGGGCGCAAGCCUGAUCCAGCCAU
rnacentral:rRNA from 1 species